CCUGUAAUCCAAGCUACUCAGGAGGCUGAGGCAGGAGAAUCACUUGAACCCGGGAGGCAGAGGUUGCAAUGAGCCGAGACUGCGCCACUGCACUUCAGCCUGGGCGACACAGCAAGACUCGGACUCAAAAAAAAAAAAAAAAAAAAACCUUCCAGGUUCCACCACCAGAGGCUUCAGUAGGUCUGAGAUGGGGUCGAAUCUGCAUUCCUCACAAGUUUCCAGAUGAGCUAACGCUGCUGGUUCAGGGACCCCACUUUAAGAAUCCCAGAAUGGAAGAGGAGAAAAGAUGUAACCCUGUCUGCACCCGCUGGCUCCUCCCGGGAGAUUGGCAUAAGGUACAGGAAAAGUGACCGUUUCCUUCUUUGUGAAUUUCCCACGGAUUCCAAGGGGCGCAGACAGAACCUGACAGGGUGAGGACCCUCUUGGCUGUCAGCUUAUUCUGAAAUUUGAAUUUCCAACUCACUCAGAGGAAUCCAGGGGGAAGGGUUGUUAUUUAUAACCACAGUUUCCUUCUAAGGGAAGUAGAUCCUGCUUCACUAAAUAAAAGGCCCUUUUGUUCUUAAAAGGA